GAGCACGUAGGUGGGUUUGUAAGUCAGUUGUGAAAGCCUUCUGCUUAACGGAAGAACAGCAUCUGAUACUGCAAGGCUAGAGUGCGGAAGGGGAGAGUGGAACUUCUGGUGGAGCGGUGAAAUGCGUAGAUAUCAGAAGGAACGCCGGCGGCGAAAGCGAUUCUCUGGCCUAUUACUGACACUGAGUGUGCGAAAGCUAGGGGAGCAAACGGGAUUAGAUACCCCGGUAGUCCUAGCCGUAAACGAUGGGCACUAAGUAGAGGGGUUU
rnacentral:rRNA from 1 species